rnacentral:lncRNA from 1 species
ACUGUAGUCGAGCUACGGCUCCUACCACCGGCGCUGGAUCUGGGCGCGCGUUAGGGGGGGAAGCUGCAGGCACAGGGCGCCGAGAGGGGAGCUUUCAAGUUACUUUGCUCCAUCCCUGCACCCGGCAGAGGCUUGCAGGCUGCGUGGUAACUGCAAACAUCUUGUUCCCUGCUUCUUUGGGCGGUCGCCCUGGAACCAACCAACUUUUCUCUCCCCCAAAACUCCCUCUUUGUUUCAAAUAGGACUCUCCAAAAUUUAUUCUUGGGAAGACUGACAGCCGGGGUCAAGAAACAGCUGUUGAAGUUAAUGUUUCUUCCUCCCACUUCGUCUGAUGGUUGUGCCCUGCCAAGACAAAGUGAGAGGCACUGCCUGGUGGCUUCUUUAAACAGACAUGCAUUUAGCCAAAAAGGGUUGGGGUGGGGGUAUAUUUUCCUGCUUAACAUACAAUCUGAUCAGAAAUGCAACAGCAUGUGCCUUUCAACUUGUGCUGAUUACUUGCUGAAAAGAUGCUGUAGCUUUUAGUUUUGAACACUUUGAGCAUUGGGGGCGGGGAUGGCGGGAGACUUAGUGGUUGACACUUUCCAUGUUUUGGUAAAGGGGCUAAAAUUUUAAACCUUCCUCCCUCUGAUCCACCUCUGGCCCUCUAAGAAAGAUAGAAUGGCCUGGGGGAGGGAGAAAAGAGUUGCAUUCCUUUGCAAGGUUUAAGUCACAUUUCAAAAUUCAAAUCAUUAUGCAGAACAAGGGCUUGCCUAGAGCUAGGCAAACUGUUUUUAUUUGGAGAUGACCUAGGCCAAACCUUGGAGAGUGCUGGAGCUCCUGGUGGCUUUCUCCACACUAGGCCUGUGUCGUCUCUCCUUUCCCAAUCCAACUCCUUUUCCCUUACUCAGAGGGCAUAUUCUAGGGGGAAGCUGCCCUGUUCUUUGUGCUGCCUUCUCCAGGUGAAGGCUGAUGUUAACACUGCUCUUCCUCCCCUUAGCGUUUUAGAGCCCCUGUGAACUGCUGAGAGGCCCCUUGGGAUUGUCCUCCAGAGUUUCCCUCUCCUAACUGAGCAUCUCCCAGGCAUCUAGCCCUCUGUCGUGGGGGUGGGUGGACGGGAACUCUAUUCCUUCCACAUCAGAGAGCUUAACCACUCUUCCAACCCACCCAUUCUCCUUUGGGAGUGCCGGGCUCAUUUGGCCUCUCUCAGAUGAAAUCAUAUGAAGACAUAAAAGGCCUUCCCUCUCCACCACCAGGUUAUCCUGUCACCACAUCGCAAUGCAGUGCCAUCACAAAGUGAUAUUGCAUCAGGCCCAAGGAUAUUUUAGGAAGCUCUCAAGCUGGGUCCAACAAGCCUUCCAUGCAGGCAUCAGGACCACACUGCCAAAUUCAAGGCUGCAGAGCUGCUGGGCAGGUGUCAGUGAUGUCCUCUCUAGUCUCAGCUAUUCUCUUCUCUAUUCUCUACUCCACCUCCCCCACCUGCAUGCCUUCCACCAGGCAGGUCCACUUUCAGACUCCCCCAAUACUCUCUUUGCCCAGCUCCCAGAGGCCACUACUUUUGCUUUUCCUCCUGUUUUCUUUGCAAAGUGUUCCAGCACACCUUCUGAUGUAUUUCCUGUUUUUCUGCCUAUCAUGGUCACUCACUGAAACCUUAAUUAAUAUUUGCUCAUAUUAACUGUAAAUCAACUAAAUUACACUUGGAGCUGCAAUGGCUGCAGCACACACAGUCUCCAAUUUGGGUGUCUGCAUGCCACAGGCCUCCCCAACUUGUUGGACUUGGGUGAACUUUUCUCAUUCCCUCAGACUCUGGAUCUCCCAGCUUGGUUGGCACAAGGGCAGCGGCCAAGAAUCCAGGCACCACCCUCAGCAAGUGCCCCUUCUCUGAGUCCUGCUAAUGCAAUCCAGCAGCCAAUUGACUUAAAUUCCUUCCGCUUUAUUGUUCUCCAUCCUCAGAGAGGCCAAUCUCAGCAUCUAGCGGGGCUGUGAGGCAGACCUCCUCUGAUCCUGGAGUUGUAAUCCCCCACUGCUGGCUCCUGCAGUUUUAUUACAGCCUCCUUUUUUUCUAAGAUUGACAGAUAUAAACCUCCAGUGUGGAGGCCUGCAACAGCACCCUUAAAGGCUUCUUUGUGUAGAAAUGUAACCUUAGGGCAAAGUCGGCCCAGCUCCAGGAAGGGCACAUUAUCCUGCUACAGGGAAGUACUGUGCUGAGACAGACCUGGAGAUUUCUUCUAAUGGCUGGGGACCUGGGAACCUCCCAGGGACAAUACCUUCUUCCUCUAAGUAGAAUAUAGGCUUGUCUAAUUUUACUGGGAGUGGGAAUGGGGGUGGGGGACAUUGAAGGGAAGGGGAUGCUGGAAGAGACCUGUAAUGACUGUUCAGGGAACUCCACAUGCAAUUGGAAGAAACAGAUAUCCUUUUUUUCAGGGAGCGGGUCUCUAAAUGCAACCACUUAUGAAGCCCCCAUGAGUGGAAGCACUGUCCGAGUCAGAGGGAGUUAGCACCAUUUGCUUCUCUUGGAGCUGAUGCUACGGUUUCCAUUCCCAAGCAGAAUGGCUUUGGAUCAUUUAGAGGAUCUGAUCUCUUUAGGCAGGUGUUGGGUUAGACACAUUAUUCCAAAAGCAAGGGUGAAAAGGUGCAGAAUCUUAAUUUACCAUGCAGGAUUAUAGUCAGAUUUAAAUCAGGUAGAAUCAUUAAGGGAUUUAGAG